GAUGAACGCUGGCGGCGUGCCUAAUACAUGCAAGUCGAGCGAACGGACGAGAAGCUUGCUUCUCUGAUGUUAGCGGCGGACGGGUGAGUAACACGUGGAUAACCUACCUAUAAGACUGGGAUAACUUCGGGAAACCGGAGCUAAUACCGGAUAAUAUUUUGAACCGCAUGGUUCAAAAGUGAAAGACGGUCUUGCUGUCCCUUAUAGAUGGUUCCGCGCUGCAUUAGCUAGUUGGUAAGGUAACGGCUUACCAAGGCAACGAUGCAUAGCCGACCUGAGAGGGUGAUCGGCCACACUGGAACUGAGACACGGUCCAGACUCCUACGGGAGGCAGCAGUAGGGAAUCUUCCGCAAUGGGCGAAAGCCUGACGGAGCAACGCCGCGUGAGUGAUGAAGGUCUUCGGAUCGUAAAACUCUGUUAUUAGGGAAGAACAUAUGUGUAAGUAACUGUGCACAUCUUGACGGUACCUAAUCAGAAAGCCACGGCUAACUACGUG
rnacentral:rRNA from 1 species